UACGAAGGGGGCUAGCGUUGUUCGGAAUUACUGGGCGUAAAGCGCGCGUAGGCGGAUCGCUAAGUCAGGGGUGAAAUCCCAGGGCUCAACCCUGGAACUGCCUCUGAUACUGGCAAUCUGGAGAUCGGGAGAGGUUGGUGGAAUUCCGAGUGUAGAGGUGAAAUUCGUAGAUAUUCGCAAGAACACCAGUGGCGAAGGCGGCUUACUGGUCCGGUUCUGACGCUGAGGCGCGA
rnacentral:rRNA from 1 species